UACGUAGGGUGCAAGCGUUAAUCGGAAUUACUGGGCGUAAAGUGUGCGCAGGCGGCAUUGCAAGUCGAGUGUGAAAGCCCCGGGCUCAACCUGGGAAUGGCGAUGGAUACUGGCUCGCUAGAGUGCGGUAGAGGAGAGUGGAAUUCCCGGUGUAGCAGUGAAAUGCGUAGAGAUCGGGAGGAACAUCAGUUGCGAAGGCGGCUCUCUGGACCAGCACUGACACUGAGGCACGAAAGCGUGGGGAGCAAACAGG
rnacentral:rRNA from 1 species